UACAGAGGUCUCAAGCGUUGUUCGGAUUCAUUGGGCGUAAAGGGCGCGUAGGCGGCGGGGUAAGUCUGGUGUGAAAUCUCGGAGCUCAACUCCGAAACUGCAUUCGAUACUGCCGUGCUUGAGGACUGGAGAGGAGACUGGAAUUUACGGUGUAGCGGUGAAAUGCGCAGAUAUCGUAAGGAAGACCAGUGGCGAAGGCGGGUCUCUGGACAGUUCCUGACGCUGAGGCACGAAGGCCAGGGGAGCAAACGGG
rnacentral:rRNA from 1 species